UUAAACAAACAUUGGCAAGAGAGGGAAGUGCUCUGCUGAAGUGCACGUGUUUACUGGCAGUGUGAUUCCAACAGAUUUAAUCUCUAUGAUCUGGGAGGCAAUGAAAAAGAAGUCACCAUAGCUGCUUUUGGGUGAGGUGUUCCAGAGCCGAUUGAAGAGCCAAUGAAAUGGCAUCUACUGUUGACCUGUUGUGAAGGCAGGUAUAUUGGAGCAGAUCCAGGUCACUCCUCAGGCAGGAGUCAAUGUGCUGUUUUACCCUUUGAGACCCAGCAGACAGUUACCCAAUAUACUUAGAAACCUAGAAACAAAGAAAAUCAGAGUUCUUUUGAAGACACUGACCUGGAGUUACACGCUGACUUCAGUUCUUUGUGGGAAUGGGACCGGCUCUCGGGGUCUCACGGCUGGCCACUAUUCGAAAUAGCAAGGAUGCGGCCAUGAAGAUUAGCUUGCCUUUGGAGUUUUGGGAUUUUGUGGCUGUGGAGGCGGGCGGACUUGAUGUCGCUGCCUUGGCAGGAAAUUGAUGUGUCGUGGGAGACGGAAGAUCAAAAGCAGCAAGCUGGCUUCUGGCUGUGUGCACAGAGACCCGAGUUCUUUGGGCGCAGAGCUCAGGAAAAGCAACACAACGGACUUUUAACAUCACAAAUCAGCAAGUUGUUUGUUAUGUCUCCCCUCUCACUGCAAA